rnacentral:lncRNA from 1 species
CUGUCACUUGUGAGCCGUGUGGUCAAGGUGUGAGGGAAGGUCACGUGGAGGCUGCUGCCAAGGUCAAGGUGCAGGUGCGGCACAUGCUCGGCCGGAUCUGGCCCCACCCUCGCUGAUGUUUGAGGAAUCCUCCAGUGUGAAGAUGCACUUGAAGGAGAAUUGGUGAGCUCCAUCCAGAGGCAUCAUCAGACCCCGUGGAGGAAGGCAGAGCACUGUCCCCGGAGCACCCAGCGGGCACCUCCGGAGAGCUCAGAGUGACCACAUCUGGCAGAAGAAGGAAAAAAUGUAGUUAUUGAAUCCAAUCCAGUGUUUGUGUCUCUCACAUUAUCAACAAAAGUGGUCAAGAAAGGUUCCAGUUGGCCCCAUGAACACAUGGAUAUAGAAGGAGCCACAUGAAGAUGGAGAAAUCGAGGCACAGAGAAAUCAAGUGACUUCGCCACAGUCACAAGCUGGGGAGGACCAGAAAUAGAACCUGAGAGAGCCCGGCUCUGGGCCUGCGUCCUGCCCACAGAGUCACGCUGCCUCCAUCCUCCGGGGAGAAGGCUCCUUGCAAG